GACGAACGCUGGCGGCGUGCUUAACACAUGCAAGUCGAACGAUGAAGCGGUGCUUGCACCGUGGAUUAGUGGCGAACGGGUGAGUUAUACGUGAGUGACCUACCUUUGACUCUGGGAUAAGCCUGGGAAACUGGGUCUAAUACCGGAUACGACCAAUCUCUGCAUGGGGUGUUGGUGGAAAGCGUUAUGGAGUGGUUUUAGAUGGGCUCACGGCCUAUCAGCUUGUUGGUGAGGUAAUGGCUUACCAAGGCGACGACGGGUAGCCGGCCUGAGAGGGUGACCGGCCACACUGGGACUGAGACACGGCCCAGACUCCUACGGGAGGCAGCAGUGGGGAAUAUUGCACAAUGGGCGCAAGCCUGAUGCAGCGACGCCGCGUGAGGGAUGACGGCCUUCGGGUUGUAAACCUCUGUUAGCAUCGAAGAAGCGAAAGUGACGGUAGGUGCAGAGAAAGCGCCGGCUAACUACGUG
rnacentral:rRNA from 1 species